rnacentral:rRNA from 1 species
CCCGCACAAGCGGCGGAGCAUGCGGUAUAAUUCGAUGCAACGCGAAGAACCUUACCAAGGCUUGACAUACACCGGUAACGCCCAGAGAUGGAUGCCCCUUUGUGGUCGGUGUACAGGUGGUGCAUGGUUGUCGUCAGCUCGUGUCGUGAGAUGUUGGGUUAAGUCCCGCAACGAGCGCAACCCUCGUCCUAUGUUGCCAGCGGGUCAUGCCGGGGACUCAUGGGAGACUGCCGGGGUCAACUCGGAGGAAGGUGGGGAUGACGUCAAAUCAUCAUGCCCCUUAUGUCUUGGGCUUCACGCAUGCUACAAUGGCCGGUACAAAGGGCUGCGAUACCGCGAGGUGGAGCGAAUCCCAGAAAGCCGGUCUCAGUUCGGAUUGGGGUCUGCAACUCGACCCCAUGAAGUCGGAGUCGCUAGUAAUCGCAGAUCAGCAACGCUGCGGUGAAUACGUUCCCGGGCCUU